UGGAGCCGCCUCACAUUCGCCGUCACA
rnacentral:piRNA from 1 species